rnacentral:rRNA from 1 species
GAAGAAGGCCUUCGGGUUGUAAAGCCCUUUUGUUGGGAAAGAAAUCCACCGGCUAAUACCUGGUUGGGAUGACGGUACCCAAAGAAUAAGCACCGGCUAACUUCGUGCCAGCAGCCGCGGUAAUACGAAGGGUGCAAGCGUUACUCGGAAUUACUGGGCGUAAAGCGUGCGUAGGUGGUUGUUUAAGUCUGUUGUGAAAUGCCCUGGGCUCAACCUGGGAACUGCAUUGGAAACUGGACAGACUAGAGUGUGGUAGAGGGUAGCGGAAUUCCCGGUGUAGCAGUGAAAUGCGUAGAGAUCGGGGAGGAACAUCCGAUGGCGAAGGGCAGCUACCUUGGACCCAACACUUGACACUUGAGGUCACGAAAGCGUGGGGAGCAAACAGGAUUAGAUACCCGUGGUAGUCCACGCCCUAAAAGAUGCGAAACUUGGAUGUUGGGGUGCAAUUUUGGCACGCAUUAUCGAAGCUAACGCUGUUAAGUUCGCCGCCUGGGGAGUACGGUCGCAAGACUGAAACUCAAAGGAAUUGACGGGGGCCCGCACAAGCGGUGGACGUAUGUGGUUUAAUUCGAUGCAACGCGAAGAACCUUACCUGGCCUUGACUAUGUCGAGAACUUUCCAGAGAUGGAUUGGUGCCUUCGGGAACU